rnacentral:rRNA from 1 species
UACGUAGGGUGCAAGCGUUGUCCGGAAUUAUUGGGCGUAAAGAGCUUGUAGGCGGUUUGUCGCGUCUGCUGUGAAAUUUCGGGGCUCAACCCCGAACUUGCAGUGGGUACGGGCAGACUAGAGUGUGGUAGGGGAGACUGGAAUUCCUGGUGUAGCGGUGAAAUGCGCAGAUAUCGUUUGGAACGCCAAAGGUGAAAACAGACAGCUGGGAGUGUGCUGACGCUGAGACACGAAAGCCAGGGGAGCGAACGGG